ensembl:snoRNA
UAGCAAGCCUCCUGCGUGCCGGGUCUUCGUGGCCCCGUGCGUUCCCGCAGCGCUGGCCAGAGCAGUGCUGAGGUGGUUUAAGGCCUUGGCCUGCUUCGUCCAGAGCAAGGUCAUGGAAGUUUCAGACAAUU